rnacentral:rRNA from 1 species
CCCGCUGAACUUAAGCAUAUCAAUAAGCGGAGGAAAAGAAACUAACAAGGAUUCCCCUAGUAACGGCGAGUGAAGCGGGAAGAGCUCAAGCUUAAAAUCUCCGUGCAAGUUUUGCGCGGCGAAUUGUAGUCUAUAGAGGCGUGGUCAGCGUGGGCGCUUGGGGCAAGUUCCUUGGAAGAGGACAGCAUGGAGGGUGAUACUCCCGUUCAUCCCUGAGUGGCUCGUGCGUACGACCCGUGUUCUUUGAGUCGCGUUGUUUGGGAAUGCAGCGCAAAGUAGGUGGUAAAUUCCAUCUAAAGCUAAAUAUUGGUGCGAGACCGAUAGCGAACAAGUACCGUGAGGGAAAGAUGAAAAGAACUUUGAAAAGAGAGUUAAAGAGUACCUGAAACUGCUGAAAGGGAACCGAAUCGUUUCCAGUGUCUAUAAUCCGUGGCAUAUUUCAUUGGCGAGUGUGCGCGUGCGUGUGCUGUGGCAGUGGCUUUUUUGGCUGCGCUCGGUGCGUGUGCUGUGUGUGCUUGCUGGUGCCCUGUGCUGCGGUGGGACGUCAAGGUCAGUUCGUAUGCUGCGGGAAAUGGCUGCCGAGGAGGUAGGGCUUACGCUCCGCGUUUGUCUGUUAUAUCUUGGUGGACGAGUCGUCGCGGUUGGGACUGAGGUGCCUACAACGUGCUUUUGAGUGGGUUCGUGUCUCCGUGUGCGCCGUGUGCGGAUAGCUUGCUAUGCGUGUGUGGUUGUGUGUGGAUUGGUGCGGGCUUUAACUUGUCGCCGUUCGGGACGUUGACGAAAUGGAGCGAUCCGACCCGUCUUGAAACACGGACCAAGGAGUCUAACAUGUGUGCAAGUGUUAGGGUGUGGAAACCCCAGCGCGAAAUGAAAGUGAAGGGCAGCGCAAGUUGUCUGAGGUAGGAAACGUUGCGGGCUUCGGUCUGCGGCGUGGCACUAUCGACCGAUCAUGAACCUUCGUGGUGAAAGAUUUGAGUUUGAGCACAUAUGUUGGUACCCGAAAGAUGGUGAACUAUGCCUGAGUAGGGUGAAGCCAGGGGAAACUCUGGUGGAAGCUCGUAGCGAUUCUGACGUGCAAAUCGAUCGUCAAACUUGGGUAUAGGGGCGAAAGACUAAUCGAACCAUCUAGUAGCUGGUUCCCUCCGAAAUUUCCCUCAGGAUAGCAGCAACUUAUUUACGAUAGUUUUAUGAGGUAAAGCGAAUGAUUAGAGGAUUCGGGGAAGAAACUUCCUCGACCUAUUCUCAAACUUUAAAUCUGUAAGACCUGCAGGUUUCUUAAUUGAACUUGUGGAUGUGAAUAUCAAGUUGCUAGUGGGCCAUACGGGGUAAGCUCGUCUGGCG